AUUGAACGCUGGCGGCAUGCCUUACACAUGCAAGUCGAACGGUAACGCGGGGCAACCUGGCGACGAGUGGCGAACGGGUGAGUAAUGCAUCGGAACGUGCCCAGUAGUGGGGGAUAGCCC
rnacentral:rRNA from 1 species